UGGAAAUAUGUCAUUGUUCUGGGUGCUGAGUCUUGCGCAAACAUCUGGGCCCCAGAGCAUGAUGGUUAUGGCUUCCUGCUCACAGUGCAUGUCCUUUUCAAAACUCAGUGAUGCGUCCCCUUGUCAGGUAACAUUUAUGGUGCACAUACAGUGGGAAGUAAAUGGGUAAAAGGGCACUAUAGUUAAACCAAGCUGAGCUUAAACCCAGACUAGAAGGUGACAUGUAUUUCUAAGCACAAGGAAGCUCUAGACAGAAGUACAUAAAGUAGAUAAGAAAAUAGAGCUCUCUCUCUCUCUCUCUCUCUCUCUCUCUCUCUCUCUCUCUCUCUCUCGGUGUGUGUGUGUGUGUGUGUGUCAGAGAAAGAGAGAGAGAGAGAGAGAGAGAGAGAGAGAGAGAGAGAGCAACUUCCCUUAAGUUAAAACCUCCUAUUUUCCCCUCAGGAAGUGAGCGAACCUCACUGUACAGGGAAGCUGAAUCAUACAGGAUUCACAAGGAUCUUUCCCUAUGGAGACAGAAGCCCUAGUCGUCCAGGCUCCUGUAUAUAAAGGAUGGGUGUUCUGCGGCAUCGUGAAUUCUCGGUCUGUGGUGAGUAGACAUUUGCUCGUGUCUUGGAGGAACCAUGCCACAGCACAGCAUGCUACAGGAACUGCAGUGUAUUUUCC
rnacentral:lncRNA from 1 species